rnacentral:rRNA from 1 species
CAAGUCGAGCGAGGCGUCCCGCAAGGGAUAGUCGAGCGGCGAACGGGUGAGUAACGCGUGGAUUAUCUGCCCUGAGGUGGGGGAUAACCCGGGGAAACUCGGGCUAAUACCGCAUAUGACCGUGAGGUCAAAGGGGGGUCGCAAGAUCUCUCGCCAUAGGAGGAGUCCGCGUCCGAUUAGCUAGUUGGUAGGGUAAUGGCCUACCAAGGCGACGAUCGGUAGCCGGCCUGAGAGGGUGAUCGGCCACACUGGAACUGAGACACGGUCCAGACUCCUACGGGAGGCAGCAGUGGGGAAUUUUGCGCAAUGGGCUAACGCCUGACGCAGCAACGCCGCGUGGAGGAUGAAGGUCCUUGGAUUGUAAACUCCUGUCAGCAGGGAAAAAGCGAAUCGGUCUAAUACACCGGUGAGUUGAUUGUACCUGCAGAGGAAGCCCCGGCUAACUCUGUGCCAGCAGCCGCGGUAAUACAGAGGGGGCAAGCGUUAUUCGGAAUUAUUGGGCGUAAAGGGCGCGUAGGCGGCUUGGCAAGUGGAAGGUGAAAUCCCUCGGCUUAACCGAGGAACUGCCCUCCAAACUGCUUCGCUUGAGACCGGGAGAGGUGAGUGGAAUUCCCAGUGUAGCGGUGAAAUGCGUAGAUAUUGGGAGGAACACCAGUGGCGAAGGCGGCUCACUGGACCGGUACUGACGCUGAUGCGCGAAAGCGUGGGGAGCAAACGGGAUUAGAUACCCCGGUAGUCCACGCCGUAAACGAUGAGUGCUUGGUGUAGCGGGUAUCGACCCCUGCUGUGCCGAAGUCAACACAUUAAGCACUCCGCCUGGGGAGUACGGUCGCAAGGCUGAAACUCAAAGGAAUUGACGGGGGCCCGCACAAGCGGUGGA